AUUCAAACAGUAUUUCAAUAAACUUUAAAGCGGUGCGAGUUAUAAGAUCUUGACAAAAAACAUGAAACUGUAUCUAUUACUUCUUCUGGUUGGAUAUAUUUCUGCCGAAGUAGUGUAUACAACAGGACCAAAUCCAUGCCUUAUAAACUCGGGUGAUAUUACAUUAGACCAUAAACCACCAUGUCUUGUAAACUCUGGUCGCAUUAAAUACCUUCACCCAUGAUUCCAAUUUUUUCCAAGCAAAAAGCACUUUACAAAUUAUUAAAUGGGUACACAAAAAAACGCGUUUUACGACUUCAAAAUGGUUUAAAAAAGUAUUAAUCUACGUACACUAUGAUUUUAUAGAAGGAAAAUUGCUUCAAGUUAAAUAAAAAUAUGUAUUCAGUUUGUAA